UUGGUUUGUGUCUAGGCUCCUCCACUUUUGAUCCAACUUCCUGUUAAUAGUGUGGGAAGAAUAAUGGCAGAUGACACAAGUAUUUGGGCCCCUGACACCUGUGUGGGAAACGCAGAUGAAAAGCUUGGCUCGUUGCUUCAGCCUGACCCAAAGGUAGCCAUUGCGACCAUCAAGGGAGUGAACCAGUGAUGGAAGAUCUUACUCUGUCUCUCCCAGUCUCUGUGUAACUCUGACAUUCAAAAUUUAUUUGAAUUAUAUAUAAUAUAUAUAAUAAUAUAAUAUAUAUAUUGGUUAUGCUUAACAAUGAACAUUUCUUUUGGAUUUUUUUUAGAUUUCUUUUUUAUUUGAAAGGCAGAAUUACAGAAAAAGAGAGAGUGAGAGUGUGCAUGACAGAGAGCGAGAGAGAGAGCGAGAGAGAGAGAGAGAGAGAGAGAGAGAAUCUUCCAUUUGCUGGUUUACUCUCCCAAAUGGUUGCAAUGGUCAAUGAGCCAGACUGAAGCCAGUAGCCAGGAGCUUCUUUCAGAUCUCCCAAGUGGUUGGCAAAGGCCCAAAGACUUGGAACAUAUUCUACUGCUUUCACAGGCACAGUAUCAGGUAGCUGGAUCAGAAGUUGAACAGCCUGGAAUCAAACUGGUGCCCAUAUUGGAAGCCAGGGCUAUAGGCAGUGGCUUAACUAGCCAUGCCACAAUGGAAAACUAUCUCAGGCUGUCAGAUGUAGGCAUCUGAAAUCCUAAGAAACAGAUGUAGAGAUCUGUGAAAACAUAAGCUUUGAAGACAUGAAAAUAACUCUUCAAUACCAAGUCUGGUUCUGAGGUAUGAAAAUUAAAAUAAAUUCAAAGGAACAAUGAUUCAUACACAUUUGGAUGUAUCCUUAAUAAGAAAAGUAUGGUUUAUUAGUACCAUUUUUCACCAAAGGUGACUUUUCAAAGACAGUGACAUUUCUUUGUUGUGGUUGACCACACUCACACUGAGGGAGUAUAAAAGUCUGCUUGCAUGUGGUGCUAUUCAUUCUCAAAAAACUCACCUUCAGUCUACAACAAAUCCUUAACCCCUGACACGAUGAGCCACUACUAUGGCAACCACUAUGGUAGCUUCGGCUAUGGCCAUGGUGGUUUUGGUGGCCUAGGCUGUGGCUAUGGUUCCAGAUGUGGCCAAGGAUUAUCUGGUGGUUUUGGCUAUGGCUUUGGUGGUGUCAAUGCUCUGGGCUGUGGCUGCACUUCCAGAUAUGGCCACGGAGUCUAUGAUGGUUACUGCUAUAGAUACAUCCAUCCGUUUUCCUGUGGAAGAUAUUACUCCCCUAGGUUUUGCUGA
rnacentral:lncRNA from 1 species